rnacentral:rRNA from 1 species
UACAGAGGUCCCAAGCGUUGUUCGGAUUCACUGGGCGUAAAGGGUGCGUAGGUGGUCGGGUAAGUCUGAUGUGAAAUCUCCGAGCCUAACUCGGAACUGCAUCGGAUACUAUUCGGCUUGAGUGCGGUAGGGGAGACUGGAAUUCCUGGUGUAGCGGUGAAAUGCGCAGAUAUCAGGAGGAACACCGGUGGCGAAGGCGGGUCUCUGGGCCGUAGCUGACGCUGAGGAGCGAAAGCGUGUGGAGCGAACAGG